rnacentral:lncRNA from 10 species
GGGUGGGCCCCUUAUCCAACAUGACAGAAAUGGCGAACACUACAUGAAGACUGAGGCAGAGACUACAGUAAUGAGGAGCCCAGGAACAACUAGGAUUGCAAACCAUGGCCAGAGGCUGGGAGAGAGGCACAGAACAGAUUUCCCCUCACAGCCCUCAGAAGAGCUAACCCUGCUGACACCUUGGCUUCACACUUGCAGCCUCCAGAACUGAUCAUCAACCUACUUGAUAUGAAAAACAGAAUACAUGAAUAAUGAAAACAAAGGUUAUAUCACUCC